AACCAAUCACCCAUUUGAAAGGGACCACACUGCCAGAUCAGUAAAGAGUAAAGCAGAGGUAUCCGAGGGCAGAGAACUCGCAUUAGAAUCACAGGAACACUGAGAGAUAAGCUUGCUGUAAAAAGCCGAAACAUGCGCGAGGACUCUUCUAGAUCUCUGGAAGCCAUUCUUGUAUAAGGGUUCUUGACAACUAACUUAAACUUGCCACUGCUUCCCCCUUCAAUGCCAUCGACUAAAGAUCUUGAGCCAAUAACUUCAGGAUCAAAGACAACUUCAAGCUCACUUGAUACCCGAUCAAAACAAAA
rnacentral:misc_RNA from 1 species